rnacentral:rRNA from 1 species
AUUGAACGCUGGCGGCAUGCUUUACACAUGCAAGUCGAACGGUAACAGGCCGCAAGGUGCUGACGAGUGGCGAACGGGUGAGUAAUGCAUCGGAACGUGCCCAGUCGUGGGGGAUAACGCAGCGAAAGCUGCGCUAAUACCGCAUACGAUCUGUGGAUGAAAGCGGGGGACCGUAAGGCCUCGCGCGAUUGGAGCGGCCGAUGUCAGAUUAGGUAGUUGGUGGGGUAAAGGCGCACCAAGCCGACGAUCUGUAGCUGGUCUGAGAGGACGACCAGCCACACUGGGACUGAGACACGGCCCAGACUCCUACGGGAGGCAGCAGUGGGGAAUUUUGGACAAUUGGGGCAACCCUGAUCCAGCAAUGCCGCGUGCAGGAAGAAGGCCUUCGGGUUGUAAACUGCUUUUGUACGGAACGAAACGGCUCUGGUUAAUACCUGGGGCUAAUGACGGUACCGUAAGAAUAAGCACCGGCUAACUACGUGCCAGCCGCCGCAGUAACAC